UACGGGGGGGGUAAGCGUUGUUCGGAAUUACUGGGCGUAAAGGGCUCGUAGGCGGCCAACUAAGUCAUACGUGAAAUCUCUCAGCUUAACUGGGGAACUGCGUGUGAUACUGGAUGGCUUGGAUUUGGGAGAGGGAUGCGGAAUUCCAGGUGUAGCGGUGAAAUGCGUAGAUAUCUGGAGGAACACCGGUGGCGAAGGCGGCAUCCUGGACCAAUAUUGACGCUGAGGAGCGAAAGCCAGGGGAGCAAACGGG
rnacentral:rRNA from 1 species